CUUCUGCACAGGUUUUAAUAAAUCUCCUCUGCGUCAUCGCUCUGCUCACUGAACAGACGGAGCAGAGCAAUGACACAGCCUGUCAAUCAAGACGAGGGGGCGUCACUGCCGGACGAAGUAACAGGACCUGGUACCUUGUACAACAUUUGCUUCUCCUCCCACGACAGUGGUUCUGAAGUCCAACUGCCAUUACCUCCACACACUGUCAUGGUGAUCCAGAGACUUUAUAAGGUUUUUGAACCUCAUGAACAUGUUUCCUUCCGAGCAUGCUAAGAGAGAAGACAAAUGAUGGAUCAGCAUACCUCUUAUUGUAUCUAGAAGGACUUUAGUAACUAGUGCAUACUGAAGCUGGCCCUGCCUUUUACUCGUAAAGUAUUAACUUUUUGGAUUACUGCUUAGCUUGGCAUUUGGAGAGAAAGGAGAGGUCCUUGGGGAGCUGGGUAUAAUCAGUUAGUUAUGCCUAAGAAGCAUUGCUAACACCCUUCAAAAUGUGCCAGGACAACAUCAGUCAAAAGCCAUUGCGAAAUGUUUAGGAAAUAAAGGCUUUGCAGGUCUAUCUUGCAUUCAUUGAGAAUAAAAUGGCCACCAAGAGGCCUUUGGAAGACGAGCUGCCUCGUUGCUAUUGUGGCUCUUUAUAGCUUCCACAGAAGGGAGGCUCUGAGCUCCGUCUCAUUGUAGCUAGCAGCAUGUCCCCAUUGCAGACUAGGUCACUGUUCAGACCAGCACCAAGCCUUAUUGUGCUGGAAGCGGAGAACAUGUUCUCUUGUUGAUGUGAAAGGUCAUUCUCCCACAGAGACUCCAUACCUGAGCUUUUGUUAAGAGGCAUCAAAAGACCUACAAAAUUUAAUUUAUUUUCCAAUGGUGGCUGAAAGCUGUUUGGGGCAUAUCAGGGGAUCUUUAACCUGUAAAAUUCCAUUAAACGUUUGUUCUUUGAAUAUUGAUGCAGAGGAUAUCUGGAACUGCUGGGAAAAAGACCCUUGUUAGU